AAAGCAUCAGAGCUCCGAAACAUACUUGCCUCGUUGGAGAAGGCACGAUAGCUUCAUAGUUCAAAGACGAUCGAUAGCAAUGAGCCAAAACGUAACUUUGUGCAUCACAAGUUCGUUGGUCAGAUAGCUUCUGAGCCAUUGUAAGUGGCUUCAGAAAUGGUUGAAAGACAUUGCUCAUCAUGGUCUUAACCUUUAACCGAAUGCUGUCAGCAAACAUCACCAACGAAAACGAUCAGUUGGAAUUGGACCGCGG
rnacentral:misc_RNA from 1 species